rnacentral:SRP_RNA from 1 species
GCCCUGUCCUGCAGGAUCACCUUCAUGGCGAACCGGGUCAGGGUCGGAAAGUUUGGUACGCUUUGCGUCUCCUUCCCGAAAGACAGCAGCCCUAAGUCAUGUUGGUGGUGCUUGCGGGGUUGCAGGGUGGA